rnacentral:rRNA from 1 species
AGCGAACGCUGGCGGCAGGCCUAACACAUGCAAGUCGAGCGCCCAGCAAUGGGAGCGGCAGACGGGAUAGUAACACGUGGGAACCUUCCCUAUAGUACGGAAUAGCCCAGGGAAACUUGGAGUAAUACCGUAUACGCCCGAAAGGGGAAAGAUUUAUCGCUAUAGGAUGGGCCCGCGUAGGAUUAGCUAGUUGGUGAGGUAAUGGCUCACCAAGGCGACGAUCCUUAGCUGGUCUGAGAGGACGACCAGCCACACUGGGACUGAGACACGGCCCAGACUCCUACGGGAGGCAGCAGUGGGGAAUAUUGGACAAUGGGCGCAAGCCUGAUCCAGCCAUGCCGCGUGAGUGAUGAAGGCCUUAGGGUUGUAAAGCUCUUUUGGCGGGGACGAUAAUGACGGUACCCGCAGAAUAAGUCCCGGCUAACUUCGUGCCAGCAGCCGCCGUAAGAC